ensembl:snoRNA
AUCCUUUUGUAGUUCACAAGCAUGAUGAUUGUGUUUUCACAUCCAUGUGUGAGAUGUGCCUCCCUCAAACCUUGUUAUGACACUGGCAUAUUACCCAUCUGAUG